CCUACGGGGGGCAGCAGUGGGGGAUAUUGCACAAUGGGGGGAACCCUGAUGCAGCGACGCCGCGUGGGUGAAGGAGUAUUUCGGUAUGUAAAGCCCUAUCGGCAGGGAAGAAGCAAGACGGUACCUGACUAAGAAGCCCCGGCUAACUACGUGCCAGCAGCCGCGGUAAUACGUAGGGGGCGAGCGUUAUCCGGAUUCACUGGGUGUAAAGGGAGCGUAGACGGCUGUGCAAGUCUGGAGUGAAAGGCGGGGGCCCAACCCCCGGACUGCUCUGGAAACUGUAUGGCUGGAGUGCAGGAGAGGUAAGCGGAAUUCCUAGUGUAGCGGUGAAAUGCGUAGAUAUUAGGAGGAACACCAGUGGCGAAGGCGGCUUACUGGACUGUAACUGACGUUGAGGCUCGAAAGCGUGGGGAGCAAACAGGAUUAGAUACCCGUGUAGUC
rnacentral:rRNA from 1 species